GGAGCGAAAAGGGUGGGGAGCAAACAGGCUUAGAUACCUGGUAGUCCCACCCCGUAAAACGUUGGGAACUAGUUGUGGGGACCAUUCCACGGUUUCCGUGACGCAGCUAACGCAUUAAGUUCCCCGCCUGGGGAGUACGGCCGCAAGGCUAAAACUCAAAGGAAUUGACGGGGACCCGCACAAGCGGCGGAGCAUGCGGAUUAAUUCGAUGCAACGCGAAAGAACCUUACCAAGGCUUGACAUACACCAGAACACCGUAGAAAUACGGGACUCUUUGGACACUGGUGAACAGGUGGUGCAUGGUUGUCGUCAGCUCGUGUCGUGAGAUGUUGGGUUAAGUCCCGCAACGAGCGCAACCCUCGUUCUAUGUUGCCAGCACGUAAUGGUGGGAACUCAUGGGAUACUGCCGGGGUCAACUCGGAGGAAGGUGGGGAUGACGUCAAAUCAUCAUGCCCCUUAUGUCUUGGGCUUCACGCAUGCUACAAUGGCCGGUACAAAGGGCUGCAAUACCGUGAGGUGGAGCGAAUCCCAAAAAGCCGGUCCCAGUUCGGAUUGAGGCCUGCAACUCGACCUCAUGAAGUCGGAGUCGCUAGUAAUCGCAGAUCAGCAACGCUGCGGUGAAUACGUUCCCGGGUCUUGUACACACCGCCCGUCAAGUCAUGAAAGUCGGUAACACCUGAAGCCGGUGGCCCAACCCUUGUGGAGGGAGC
rnacentral:rRNA from 1 species